rnacentral:lncRNA from 1 species
GGGCACCAUAGAAGAUGGUAACUGCUAAAGCAUAACAGGAGUUUAACUGGAAAGAAAAGCACAAGUGAGGCCAUCACUUACAAGUUGAUUAAUUGCAUCCCUAAACUUGUAAUAGUCAUCAACUUUAUUAUACACUUGAUAAGAAAUUCUUGCAUAUCCACUUACACAUCCAACUUCUCCCCCAUCUCUAAAAUAAAUAGGGACUUCAACCCCAAAAAAUUCCCUUAAAUGUGUCCUAAGAUUCAUAGCAUCACAUUCAUUCAUAAUCCCCAAAGAAGGAGGCAAACCAACCAUAACCAUACUUGCACUCAUAUGAUGUGGUGUCCCAAGAUGUGUCCCCCAAGCUUCCACCAACAUCUCACCCAUCUCAACAACACAAUCAUGGUUCCUCUCUUUGAUCCCUUCAAUUCCACCUUCAAACCUAUUCACAAAUUCCAUAACCGUUGGAACCACUAAUUGAGCGCUAUAAUCUCUAUUCCCAAUCCAUGAACUUUCUAUAGCUAAUCCAUUCCCAUACUCAUGAGACACAACAGGGUGAUGCAAAUCAACCGAAUUAACCGAUUUACGCGUGUAGAUAAAUGCAACCGAAGGUGGACAAAAAAACCACUUAUGCAAAUUACUUGUGUAAAAAUCAGCUCCAAUCUCUUGCAUAUCAACGCGCGGGGUGCACCCUACCGCAUGAGCUGCAUCAACGAAAACUUGAUCAACACCUUCCUCGCGACAAAUCUUAACUAACUCUUUCACCGGAAUCACCAUGCUUGGCAUGGAAGUCACAUGAUCAAUAACCGCUAAUCUAACUUUAUUACUACUACCUUCGCUCUUUGUUUUUUCCAGCACAUGACGGAACUCUCUGAUGAUAUCAUCUUCAGAGGUGACAGGGAAGGUAAGUGGAACCUCAAUGACUCUUCCACCGGCGCGUGUGACGUAUGCUUCAAUGGCUUUCUUGACAGAGCCGUAGGCAUAGUGAAGCAUGACAACUGAAUCUCCUUUAUUGAAUUUUCCUUCUUGGAAAGCCCACGAUGCUUGCUGGAGAACAAUUGCGGUGGCAGUGGAGGCGUUAUCAACGAUGGAGAUUUCAUUAACAUGUUGAGCGUUGACGAGAUCUUUGAUGAUGGUUCGGGAAUGGAGGAUUCCUUUUUGGAGGUGGUUGAAGUAAAAGUGGUCAGGUUGACGGAGGGAUUUGAGCUGCCAUUGACGUUGAGCUGCGAGGACAGAGGACGGACAGCAACCGAAAGCUCCGUUGUUGAGGCGUGCUACAGUGGGGUCGUGGUGGGAGAAUUCUGAUUGUAUUUCGGUGUCGGUGAUUGCAGAGAAAGAAAGCUUGGGUUUCUUUGAAACUUCACCAUUUGUGUGAUUAUUAUUUUGAUCAUGGAAGGCCAUUGGAGAAUGAAAGUAAUAAUGAGAAUCAAAGUCAGAGUUAAGAAUAAAAAUUGAUGAAGACGGAAGAACCAACCAAAAAUCUUGUAGUGACCAUUUUUUAUUCUUUAUAUUAUUUUUUAGUUAAGAAUGCUUGUUUUCUUAUUCGUGUCGAAUAGUGCAUCACAGCUAUGUUGCUAUCCAUUUGCAAUGUUUUAUUCUUUCCUCGUAUUAGAUGUCGUGUACCACUAACUAUAAUUAUUGGUUUUCUUUUACUGCUGCAUUCAGC